CAGGCGGACAGGAAGAAGUUGUGCAAGCAGUAAAAGGCCGGUGUUGGCGGGCCAGAGUGUGUUGUAACAGUAACACACAAACAACAUUUACUGGAACACUUUCUUUUUACUUCUUCUCUGCCCUCACUUUGUGCUGCUUCUCCAACCAGCAGCUGCUUGAAGUCAGAACCUCGACAACGUCCAUGCAUGCGAAGCGGCGGCACUGAGUGUCAGAAUGAGAUGUCGUCUCAUAGCGGCUCCUUUGUGCAAAUCAACUUCGAUGACAUCCACUUCUUCGAGAACUGCGGCGGCGGCAGCUUCGGGAGCGUGUACAGGGCCAGGUGGAUCAGCCAGGACAAAGAGGUGGCGGUGAAAAAGCUGCUCAGGAUUGAGAACGAGGCUGAAAUCCUGAGCGUCCUGAGCCACCGCAACAUCAUCCAGUUUUAUGGCGCCAUCGUUGAGCCUCCCAACUAUGGAAUCGUUACAGAAUAUGCCAGCAAGGGAUCUCUCUACGACUUCCUGUCCUGUGCUGAGAGUGAAGAGGUGGACAUAAGCCACAUUAUGACCUGGGCUACAGAGAUCGCCAGAGGGAUGCACUAUUUGCACUCCGAGGCCCCCGUUAAAGUGAUCCACCGAGACCUGAAGUCAAGGAAUGUUGUCAUCACAGCAGACAAAGUCCUGAAGAUCUGUGAUUUCGGGGCUUCCAAGUUUCUGACCCACACCACCCACAUGUCUCUAGUGGGUACCUUUCCGUGGAUGGCGCCCGAGGUCAUCCAGAGUCUGCCCGUGUCUGAGACCUGUGACACCUUCUCCUACGCUGUGGUGCUGUGGGAAAUGCUGACUCGUGAGGUACCAUUCAAAGGACUGGAAGGCUUACAAGUGGCAUGGCUGGUUGUGGAGAAAGAAGAAAGGCUGACCAUCCCCAGCGGCUGCCCUGCCAGCUUUGCAGAGCUGAUGAGGAACUGCUGGAGGACAGAUCCAAAAGAGCGGCCGACGUUCAAGCGGAUCCUGUCUACUUUGGAGUCCAUGUGGAACGACAGCCAGCUCUCCAAACAGUGCAACUCUUUCCUCCACAACAAGUCUGAAUGGAGGUGUGAGAUCGAAGCCACGCUGGAGCGGCUGAAGAAGUUGGAGAGAGAACUGAGCAGCAAAGAGCAGGAGCUGAAGGUGCGGGAGCGCCGUCUUAAGAUGUGGGAGAGCAAACUCAUCCAACAAUCCAACAGCCCGCUGCUGCCCACUCUGGACAUCUACACAUGGACAGAGGAGCACGUGUUCUUCUGGAUGCAGCAAAUAUUCGGUGCAGAGGAGAGCGCCUGUGGCAUGCAGCUGUACGCCGACCUCUUUCAGGACAACCACAUCACCGGAAAGAGGCUCCUAUUGCUGUCGGAGAGUGACAUGCGGGACAUGGGCAUCAAGUCCAAAGGUCACGUCAUGCACCUGAAGAGCGAGAUUGAGAAGCUCACCAACGAUUACCUCGGCCUGGUCCACUUCCCACCCUUGCUCAAGGAUGAACUUGAAAACCAGGUGGACAGCAGUAAGAGUGUCAACCUGGAACUGGUGUUUGGCUACCACUGGAAGCCAGGGACCGGAAGAUCAGACUGCAAGUGGAAAAUGUUCCUGGAACUGGACGGAGACGACAUGGCCAUCACUUACAUCAAGGAGGUGAUGUUCAGCAGCAACCGGCCAGACGUGGAAACCACGCGGAUGACCAAGCCGCCAUUUGUGAUGGACAGGUGGGUAGUUGGGAUAGAAGCUGACCAGAGACUGGACUACACUGUCAGCUAUGAGAACGACGUCAAGUCGCCGAGGUCAACGAGACACAGCUGCUCUAUGACGUGGCGUCCCACUGGUGGACAGGACGACAUCAAAACCGUGGCCCUUGUGAUCCAAACAGCAGCAGCAAGCAAUGAUGACGUGAGCCCUGGGAGGAGAACGUCUAACUCUGGCAUCGAUGAAGCUUGGAUGCACAAAGUGAAGCGGCGGCAGAUGAGCAGUCAGGAAAAGCAUCAGAGCGGCGCCAUGACCGCCUCAGAGGCCCGCACUCUCCCUCAGUUCCUGUCGGCGCAUGAAAGCCAAGCGUCCACCUACGCCGCGGCGGCGCGGCGCUCGCCCGUCCACGCCCGCCUCGCCGCCUGGAGCGACCCCCGCAGCUCCUCGCCCGGCGCCGGCCUCUCGGCCAAACUGUGCCCGCUCCAGCUGGGGUCAAAGGGCAGCAGCCCGUGCAGCACCGCGUCAGAGAGCACGUCCGAGAGAGAGCGGCCGCUGAGCGCCGGCGUGCUGCACGCGGCCAACAAGGACGUCUUCUUUGGCGGCCGGGGACGAGGCAGCACCAGAGGAGGCCUCAGCAGGAGCCACAGAGGCCCUCGCCAGCCGGGCAGGCCGCGCUCCAACAGUUGCACUUCAGCACCUCAGAGCCGCCCCCGCAUCAUACCCGGGGUUUUGUCCGCCAGCGAGAACUCGGGCGAAGAAAGCGAGACGACCAAAGCGGGCUCCGACGGCGGCUGGAUCAAAGUGGAGCGCCACAAAAGAUUACCGCGCCAGGAUAAUAAAGCAGGGCGAGGUCGGCCCAGGAGAGGAGGGCGAGGAGGACGCGGGGGCAGAACGUGAAAGUUCUGAAGGACGCUGCUUGUGUUGACCACCGACAGCAGGGGCGUCCAAACUUUUUGCACUGAGGGCCGCACACGGAAAAAUAUUCGAAUUAGGCCCUGCGAUGAGGGAGCGACUUGUCCAGGGUGUACCCCGCCUUCCGCCCGAUUGAAGCUGAGAUAGGCACCAGCGCCCCCCGCGACCCCAAAAGGGAAUAAGCGGUAGGAAAUGGAUGGAUGGAAGAUUCGAAUUAGCUAGUUUUUCUCUUCUUUUUUUGGGUUGAAUUUAGAAUUUUAAAGAGUCGAAAUUGAAGAUAAACUAUGUUUCAAAAUUGAAUUUUUAUUUUUUUCGUGUUUUCUCCUCUUUUAAACCGUUCAAUUAAGUGUUUUUUCAUUUAUUCUCUACAAAAAACCUUCCUCAGAAGGAAAAAAAAAAUGUCUGAUGGAAUGACAGAAAUACCCUUUUUUUUCUUUGGAUAUUUAUCUGUUUCUAUAUAUAUUUAUUGUGAGAAAUAACUAAGAUGAUCAGUGUUUCCACAAAGAUAAAUAUCAUUAAUUAUUAAUAAUAACAUAGAGUUAAAAGUAAAUUGAGCAUUUUGGCUAUUUCUGGCAAUUUAUUUAAGUGUGUAUCGAACUGGUAGCCCUUGGCAUGAAUCAGUACCCAAGAAGUAGCUCUUGCUUUCAACAAGGUUGGAGACCCCUGAUCCAGACCCUUUUAUGUCAUUAAAAACUUGACUUCAAAUUCAGUUCCAACCAUACUUGCCAACCAUCCUGAAUUUCAGUGCCACUCCUGAAAAUCUGAGAUUUUAAUGGAAGCAUUCACAUACAAUGGUUUAUAUAGGGCACAGAGUGGGUGGGUACAGGCGGGCGUAGGGGCGUGGUGAUUGGCUCAUGUGUUACCUAGGAGGUGUUUCCGUCUGUGGCGGCAUGUUGAAAUGAUUUCACCGUGCUUGUUGAGGGAUGACAGGUCUGGAUGAUAUAUAAUAAACAGUUUGUAGCUGAGAUAGGCGCCAGCGCCCCCCGCGACCCCAAAAGGGAAUAAGCGGUUGAAAAAUGGAUGGAUGGAUGGCAAAUUCUUGCAUCCAGCACACCUUACAACAGUGGUAAUAAAAGAUGCAACCUAUGCUUGAAAGAGAAACUGUUUAUUAUAUAUCAUCCAGAUAUGUCAUCCCUCAACAAGCGCAGUGAAAUCAUUUCAACAUGCCGUCACAGACGGAAACACCUCCUAGGUAACACAUGAGCCAAUCACCACACCCCUACGCCUGCUUGUACCCACCCACUCUGUGCUCUAUAUAAACCAUUGUAUGUGAAUGCUUCCAUUAAAAUCCCCUGAUGAUUGAGGGAACCCCUCAUGAAACAGAUCUGUAGAGAUGAAGUAGUCUUGUGAUUUUUCCCACACCUACAUAUAUAUAUAUAUAUAUAUUAUGGCUGCGAAUCUUUGGGUGUCCCAUGUUUCGAUUCAAUAUCGAUUCUUUUUGGUCGCAAUUCGAUUAUAAAGUAUAUCGAUUUUUUUCGAUUCAACCCGAUUCUCGAUUCAAAAACGAUAUUUUUCCGAUUCAAAAGGAUUCUGUAUCCAUUCAAUACAUAGAUUUCAACAGGAUCUACCCCAAUUUGCUGACAUGCUAGCAGAGUAGUAGAUUUUUUUUAAAAAAGCUUUUAUAAUUGUAAAGGACAAUGUUUUAUCAACUGAUUGCAAUAAUGUACAUUUGUUUUAACUAUUAACGGAACCAAAAGUAUGACUUAUUUUAUCUUUGUGCAAACAUUGGACACAGUGUGUUGUCCAGCUUAUGAGAUGCGAUGCAAGUGUAAGCCACUGUGACACUAUUGUUCUUUUUGAUUUUUUAUAAAUGUCUAAUGAUAAUGUCAAUGAGGGAUUUUUGAUAACUAAUAUUGAUACUGUUGUUGAUAAUAUUCAUUUUUGUUUCACUACUUUUGGUUUGUUCUGUGUGGUGUUUGUGUCUCCUCUCAAUUGCUCUGUUUAUUGCAGUUCUGAGUGUUGCUGGGUCAGGUUUGGUUUUGGAAUUUAUUGCAUUGUUAUUGUAUUGCUGUGUAUUGUUUUGUUGGAUUGAUUAAAAAAAAAAAAAAUUGGGGGGGAAAA